rnacentral:rRNA from 1 species
AGUGAACGCUGGCGGUAGGCCUAACACAUGCAAGUCGAACGGCAGCACAGUAAGAGCUUGCUCUUACGGGUGGCGAGUGGCGGGCGGGUGAGGAAUACAUCGGAAUCUACUUUUUCGUGGGGGAUAACGUAGGGAAACUUACGCUAAUACCGCAUACGACCUACGGGUGAAAGCAGGGGAUCUUCGGACCUUGCGCGAUUGAAUGAGCCGAUGUCGGAUUAGCUAGUUGGCGGGGUAAAGGCCCACCAAGGCGACGAUCCGUAGCUGGUCUGAGAGGAUGAUCAGCCACACUGGAACUGAGACACGGUCCAGACUCCUACGGGAGGCAGCAGUGGGGAAUAUUGGACAAUGGGCGCAAGCCUGAUCCAGCCAUACCGCGUGGGUGAAGAAGGCCUUCGGGUUGUAAAGCCCUUUUGUUGGGAAAGAAAAGCAGCAGGUUAAUACCCCGCUGUUCUGACGGUACCCAAAGAAUAAGCGCCGGCUAACUUCGUG